UUUCUCCUACGGGGCGCAGCAGUGAGGAAUAUUGGUCAAUGGUCGGGAGACUGAACCAGCCAAGCCGCGUGAGGGAGGAAGGUACAGAGUAUCGUAAACCUCUUUUGUCAGGGAACAAAGGCGGGGACGUGUCCCCGGAUGAGUGUACCUGAAGAAAAAGCAUCGGCUAACUCCGUGCCAGCAGCCGCGGUAAUACGGAGGGUGCGAGCGUUAAUCGGAAUUACUGGGCGUAAAGCGCUCGUAGGCGGUAUGUCAAGUCAAGGGUGAAAUCCCCGCGCUCAACGUGGGAACUGCCUUUUAAACUG
rnacentral:rRNA from 1 species